CAUUUUGGUCUAAUGACUCUAGUUUGACUUUCUGUAGGAGGCUCAGCCAGUGUGCUUAGUUUCCUUAGGUCAUGAGGCUGACUAGAAUGAAUUUUUCGCUAUAGCUGGAAAGCGACUGUAUGGUAUGAAAUUUGAAUUAAUGAUGAUUUAGUUAUUAUAAAUUGCGGGUAAAUGAAGUGAAUAAACUAUGGGAAAAUUAACAUUCGUUUUUAAUUGAGUUACAAAUUAUCUUGCCAUUUAAAACAUGCUUUGUUUGCUCGAUGGUAUUUCUCGACUUUUUGAAAAUUUUUCAAUGUGGUUCGAAUCACUACUGAAACGUCUUCGAUGUGAUAUUUCAAUCAACCAAGUCCGAUGAUUAUUUGAUACCUGAUUUUGCGUGGAAAACAAAAAGAAAAAACUAAAACAGUCCUGAAUUUAAAGUUCCUCCCGAUUUUCAAUGGUCUGAACUAAAACAUCCUUUGUUGUUGUAUCAAAUGUAAUUGUUAUUUUAAGGAAUCAUGUUUCUAUAAUUAUACUAGAAAUCACCAGAUUCUUAGUCCUGAUAUAUCCGUGCAGUUUCGCUCGAAUGUUGAAGCCUUCAGCUUUCAAUCCAAUUCAGUUCGGGAAAUGGAGCCGCAGAAAUGGAAACUGGAGACGCAACACAACUAUUAAACCUCAAUUAAAUUCUUUGAAAUGGAUUACCAAAACUGGCGAACCCGUGAAAGCGCAGCCAAUCUACUCCAACUUAAAACCAUUGAUGAUUGAAUAUGUUCAUUCAGCUAAAUUAUUUGGUCCAAGGUUCGAAUCCAUGAGAGAAGAACUAGAAAAAGCACCUCUAUUAGCAUUCGACACUGAAAUGAUGAACAAAGCGCAAGAUGUCGUUCUUUUGCAAAUCGGAACUCUUUUUGGUCGAGCCUAUGUUUUCGAUAUGCGAAAGCUAGAGUCAUGUCAGAAACAGCUUUUGUCGGAUUUAUUCAGCGACAAAUCUCUUUCUAUAUUUGGAUCUGGAUGCGCUUAUGACGUUUCCUUACUUAACCAAACAUGCGGGUUCCAAUUAUCGAACUUUUUCGACUUUAUUGAUUUAGUCUCGAAAGUUUUGCCGGCAAAAGAUUAUGAUGUCCUUCUGGGCUCGAAAUCUGGCUUAAAAUGGAUGUGUAACAAAUUGAUUGCUUUCGACUUUGCGAAGUUGCACUGGACUGAAUAUGAAAAAUUUUCCUAUGAAAAUAUCCCAGAAAAAUUGAUCAGCUAUGCUGCUCUGGAUGUUUUAACAUUAAUUGAUUUGUAUUUGAAUCUUCAUUUCUAUCACAAUAAUUUGCCAUUGAUGACUUCUGAUGAAAUACUUCAAAACUGUAGCGCAAUUUGUGCGUUUGGCUCUAAUCGUUUUACGCCAAAAAGACACGCUUUGAGUUCAAUACGAGAAAAUUUCAAAUAUACUUCUUGA